AUGCGGGUGCUUAGAUCAGAUGAUAAAGGGUGGUACAUAUGCGAACACAAAGCAGAGCACAACCAUUCUGUAUCGGUUAACUGUAUGGAGAAGCUGCACUGGAAAUCACACAGGCACAUAGAUAGAUACACUAGAGACUUGGUGAAACAGCUAAGAGAAAACAAUAUAAGCCUGAGCAAGGUUUAUAGUGUGGUUGGCAGUUUUUUUGGAUCUGUGAAGGAGGUGCCAUUCACAAAGAGAUCUCUCAAAACUCUUUGUGGAAAACUGAAUAGAGAGCAGUCAGAAAAUGAUGCUACAAAAACAAUAGAGGUGUUCAAUGCCAUGCGGGCUGAAGAUCCUGAGUUCAAGUACAGUGUGCAAGUUGAUAGUGAUGGCCGAGUCAAGACUUUGAUGUGGACAACAGGAAGAAGCAUAGAGCAAUUUAAGUGUUUUGGAGAUGUUGUAACGUUUGAUACGACAUACAAAACAAAUCUAUACGACAUGCCAUUUGGCCUCUUUGUUGGUGUCAACAAUCACUUCCAAAGCAUUAUAUUUGGAGGGGUGCUGAUGAGCGAUGAGAAAAUUGAAACUUUCAAGUGGAUAUUCACAGAGUUUUUUCAGAUGAUAGGAGCGCCACAACCACGCACAAUGCUCACAGGUGAAUAA
rnacentral:rRNA from 1 species